CAGCUCCAAUAGCGUAUAUUAAAGUUGUUGCAGUUAAAAAGCGCGUAGCUGAAGCUUGUUGGCGGUGGCCACGGUCGACUUCUAGUCUGUACUGUGUGCCGCGCCAAUUUUAACUGGGACUCACGUUCCAGUGAUUACUUUGAGAAAAUUAGAGUGUUCAAAGCAGGCCUUUGCUCGGAUAGUACAGCAUGGAAUAAUGGAAUAGGACGUAUGGUUCUAUUUUGUUGGUUUCUAGGACCGUCGUAAUGAUUAAUAGGGAUGGACGGGGUGUCAGGUAUGGUUACGUCAGAGGUGAAAUUCUUAGAUUGUAACCGGACCCACUGCUGCGAAAGCGUGACACAAGAACAUUCCCAUUAGUAAAGCACGAUAGUUAGAGGAGUUAAGAUGAUCAGAUACCGUCGUAGCUCUAACUGUAAACUAUGAUGACUAGGGAUGGGGCGAUGUUCACACGAACGCGCUCUGCACCUUAGCGAAAGUAAAGUUUUUGAUCUCUGGGGGGAGUAUGGUCGCAAGGCUGAAACUUAAAGGAAUUGACGGAAGGGCACCACCAGGAGUGGAGCCUGCGGCUUAAUUUGACUCAACACGGGACAGCUUACCAGGUCCAGACAUGAAAAGGAUUGACAAAUUGGAGAUUUCUCUUGAUCUCAUGGGUGGUGGUGCAUGGCCGUUUUUAGUCCUUGGAGUGAUUUGUCUGCUUAAUUGCGAUAACGG
rnacentral:rRNA from 1 species